rnacentral:lncRNA from 10 species
AAAUCACACGCCUAUAGACAAUCAGGACACUAUCAUGAUAAAAAUCAAUUACAGCUUCUGUUCUUGUCUCUGGAACCACACUGUACCUACUAGAAGCUGCACCAGCAAAACCAGUGUUUGUAUCCUGUUUCUACACUCAUGGAGCCAGUUAUUGAACUAUGGAACAGCUGUUGAUUUCAUUUCACCAAAAGCAAGUGCCUUAAUGCCCACAUUUGCCAGAUGCUUCCUGUUCUUGAACAUCAGACUGUGAGUUCUUCAGUUUUGGAACUCAAACUGACUCUCCUUGCUCCUCAGCCUGCAGACCGACUAUUGUGGGACCUCGUGAUUGUAGUGAGGGGUGUCUUCCUGUUAAUCCCAUAGCAGCUCCAAUUGCUAGAACCCAGUGAAAUUUCGGGAUACUUCUAUAGAAACACUUGUAAAGCUACUGUGUUUUGUCAGGAAAGAAUAUUUUACCAGCAAGUAAGAAGGGCUUAGGAGUUCCAUGAAGCAUGCGCUAAGGCAAGCAAGUUGUAAAUGCAUUUUCUUGAACAUUUUAUGCGACAGAGAAACCAGCAGUUUUAGAGCACAAAAUACACUU